rnacentral:piRNA from 1 species
CCAGUGAGGGAAGCCUGGGGCGAACUGA